rnacentral:tRNA from 1 species
GCCCUCAUAGCUCAGUAGGUAGAGCGCAUCCAUGGUAAGGAUGAGGUCAACAGUUCGAUUCUGUUUGAGGGCUCCA